ensembl:miRNA gga-mir-1434 gga-mir-1434
AGUGCGUGAUGAUGGAAAAUUUCUUCACUUUGACCUGACUUGUUUGAUUGAAGAAAUUUGAGUAUCUGACGCGAGCU